UACUUGCUUCAGGGAAUGGUUAUUUCAGAGUUUAGUUAUUUUGUCCCUUGUGUCGGUCAGGUCACCUGUAGCUUCACUCAAGUUGUCGUGACAGACUCGCCGAUAUAGAUUUCAUGUCAGCAGUUGUUGCUGUGGUUGGAGUAAUUGGGGACUCUUGGAUGAUGCAACCAGACGAAUGAUGGGCUUCCUCAUGUCCAAUGAGUUGGCUCUGCAAUAUAACCUGUUUGGACGUCAUGGAGAGAAUAAGUUCUGCUAGCUGCGUCUUUUUGAUGUCUUCUAUGGUAAUUAGAGUUGAAUUUAUUAAUCUAUAUUCAUCACUGACAAAUGAUUUAGUAAAUUUAAUCCCAGGCUAAAAUGAAUACUUUGUUUUUUGUGAUUUCUUUUUAGGGGCAGUGAAGAAAAAUGCCAUCACCCAACCAGUCCCACUAAAGGAAGAGGAGAAAGGCUUCUCCAAAUGGUUUGUUGGAGCUCGUGACAGGGGAGGAAACCGAGCUAUAAGGACUCAAAGAGAGCUUGAAUAACAAGCCGAUGGAGCUUCUACUCAGGAACCGUCAAGGAUGCCAUGAGUAUUUUGUUUUACUGGAUUUAUUUAUUUUUUCGUCACAUAAUCGGCACACAUUAAGGUUGUUGAUAUUGUACUGUACCAAGUGAAGUUGUUCUUUAUUUUAUUAAGUAACUGUAGCAUGUUAGAUCCUGUGUGUUAUCUGUUAAACCUUUGGGUGACCUUGCCAUGGUCUUGUAUCUCGUUUUCAUAAUGCAGGAUCAGGAUAAUUUAUUUUCUUUUAUUAAAUUG